AUUGAACGCUGGCGGCAUGCCUUACACAUGCAAGUCGAACGGCAGCACGGGUGCUUGCACCUGGUGGCGAGUGGCGAACGGGUGAGUAAUACAUCGGAACAUGUCCUGUAGUGGGGGAUAGCCCGGCGAAAGCCGGAUUAAUACCGCAUACGAUCUACGGAUGAAAGCGGGGGACCUUCGGGCCUCGCGCUAUAGGGUUGGCCGAUGGCGGAUUAGCUAGUUGGUGGGGUAAAGGCCUACCAAGGCGACGAUCAGUAGCUGGUCUGAGAGGACGACCAGCCACACUGGGACUGGGACACGGCCCAGACUCCUACGGGAGGCAGCAGUGGGGAAUUUUGGACAAUAGGGGAAAGCCUGAUCCAGCAAUGCCGCGUGUGUGAAGAAGGCCUUCGGGUUGGAAAGCACUUUUGUCCGGAAAGAAAUCCUUGGCCCUAAUACGGUCGGGGGAUGACGGUACCGGAAGAAUAAGCACCGGCUAACUACGUG
rnacentral:rRNA from 1 species